rnacentral:rRNA from 1 species
CACCUGUAUCCAUCAAUGCCGCGUGUGUGAAGAAGGCCUUCGGGUUGUAAAGCACUUUUGUCAGGAACGAAACGGCGGGGGCUAAUAUCCUCUGCUAAUGACGGUACCUGAAGAAUAAGCACCGGCUAACUACGUGCCAGCAGCCGCGGUAAUACGUAGGGUGCGAGCGUUAAUCGGAAUUACUGGGCGUAAAGCGUGCGCAGGCGGUUGUGCAAGACAGAUGUGAAAUCCCCGGGCUUAACCUGGGAAUUGCAUUUGUGACUGCACGGCUAGAGUGUGUCAGAGGGGGGUAGAAUUCCACGUGUAGCAGUGAAAUGCGUAGAUAUGUGGAGGAAUACCGAUGGCGAAGGCAGCCCCCUGGGAUAACACUGACGCUCAUGCACGAAAGCGUGGGGAGCAAACAGGAUUAGAUACCCUGGUAGUCCACGCCCUAAACGAUGUCUACUAGUUGUCGGGUCUUAAUUGACUUGGUAACGCAGCUAACGCGUGAAGUAGACCGCCUGGGGAGUACGGUCGCAAGAUUAAAACUCAAAGGAAUUGACGGGGACCCGCACAAGCGGUGGAUGAUGUGGAUUAAUUCGAUGCAACGCGAAAAACCUUACCUACCCUUGACAUGUACGGAACCCUGCUGAGAGGUG